rnacentral:rRNA from 1 species
CUUACACAUGCAGUCGAGCGGGGAUAGGGUGCUUGCACCUGAUUCCUAGCGGCGGACGGGUGAGUAAUGCUUAGGAAUCUGCCUAUUAGUGGGGGACAACGUUCCGAAAGGGACGCUAAUACCGCAUACGUCCUACGGGAGAAAGCAGGGGAUCUUCGGACCUUGCGCUAAUAGAUGAGCCUAAGUCGGAUUAGCUAGUUGGUGGGGUAAAGGCCUACCAAGGCGACGAUCUGUAGCGGGUCUGAGAGGAUGAUCCGCCACACUGGGACUGAGACACGGCCCAGACUCCUACGGGAGGCAGCAGUGGGGAAUAUUGGACAAUGGGGGGAACCCUGAUCCAGCCAUGCCGCGUGUGUGAAGAAGGCCUUUUGGUUGUAAAGCACUUUAAGCGAGGAGGAGGCUACCGAGAUUAAUACUCUUGGAUAGUGGACGUUACUCGCAGAAUAAGCACCGGCUAACUCUGUGCCAGCAGCCGCGGUAAUACAGAGGGUGCAAGCGUUAAUCGGAUUUACUGGGCGUAAAGCGCGCGUAGGUGGCCAAUUAAGUCAAAUGUGAAAUCCCCGAGCUUAACUUGGGAAUUGCAUUCGAUACUGGUUGGCUAGAGUAUGGGAGAGGAUGGUAGAAUUCCAGGUGUAGCGGUGAAAUGCGUAGAGAUCUGGAGGAAUACCGAUGGCGAAAGCAGCCAUCUGGCCUAAUACUGACACUGAGUGCGAAAGCAUGGGGAGCAAACAGGA